rnacentral:rRNA from 1 species
CCUACGGGGGGCGGCAGUGAGGAAUAUUGGUCAAUGGGCGCAAGCCUGAACCAGCCAUCCCGCGUGCAGGAAGACGGCGCUAUGCGUUGUAAACUGCUUUUCCAGGGGGAGAAACUUGCGCACGUGUUGCGCAAUUGACGGUACCCUGGGAAUAAGCAUCGGCUAACUCCGUGCCAGCAGCCCCGGUC